UGGGGAAUCUUGCGCAAUGCGCGAAAGCGUGACGCAGCAACGCCGCGUGGGGGAAGAAGGCUUUCGGGUUGUAAACCCCUUUCAGUUGGGACGAAGCCUCGUCGGUGAACAGCCGCGCGGGGUGACGGUACCUUCACAAGAAGCACCGGCUAACUACGUGCCAGCAGCCGCGGUAAUACGUAGGGUGCAAGCGUUGUCCGGAAUUAUUGGGCGUAAAGAGCGUGUAGGCGGCCCGAUUAGUCCGCUGUGAAAGUCCAGGGCUCAACCCUGGAAUGCCGGUGGAUACUGUCGGGCUAGAGUCCGGAAGGGGCGAGUGGAAUUCCUGGUGUGGCGGUGAAAUGCGCAGAUAUCAGGAGGAACACCAAUGGCGAAGGCAGCUCGCUGGGACGUGACUGACGCUGAGACGCGAAAGCGUGGGGAGCAAACAG
rnacentral:rRNA from 1 species